rnacentral:rRNA from 1 species
AACGAACGCUGGCGGCAUGCCUAACACAUGCAAGUCGAACGAGGCCUUCGGGUCUAGUGGCGCACGGGUGCGUAACGCGUGGGAACCUGCCCUUAGGUUCGGAAUAACUCCCCGAAAGGGGUGCUAAUACCGGAUAAUGUCUUCGGACCAAAGAUUUAUCGCCUUUGGAUGGGCCCGCGUUUGAUUAGCUAGUUGGUAGGGUAAAAGCCUACCAAGGCGACGAUCCAUAGCUGGUAUGAGAGGAUGAUCAGCCACACUGGGACUGAGACACGGCCCAGACUACUACGGGAGGCAGCAGUGGGGAAUAUUGGACAAUGGGCGAAAGCCUGAACCAGCAAUGCCGCGUGAGUGAUGAAGGCCUUAGGGUUGUAAAGCUCUUUUACCCGGGAUGAUAAUGACAGUACCGGGAGAAUAAGCUCCGGCUAACUCCGUG